rnacentral:lncRNA from 1 species
CGCCGUGGCAACCCUCCUUGGUCCCUGUCUGUUCUGUGGAAGCUUUGUUCUUUCACUCUUUCUUGCAUCUUCAGAAAGAAGUAUUAAAACUUUCCUAGCGUGUUAAAUUCUGCUACCUCACCAACGACAACUUGGACCUUGACCUCCAAUGUGUGUUCGACCAAAUUCCCUUCGUAGAGGCUGGGAAGAGAGGUAUAUCGCUUUCAGCUCAGAGGCUUACGUUGAAAGAGGAAGUUUGGAGAUAAAUGCUCUUUUUCUCUUCAUGUCAGUCUGGGAUGUGGAAGCAGAGAAUGUGUCUGUUUUGCUCACCAUCACAUCUGCGGAGCCUAGCCCAAUGCCUGGCAUGGAGUCAGGAUGCAAUCAUAAUUUGCCACAUGGAGGAAUAAAUGGUUGGCUUGUCCCGUGA